GAUGAAGAACGUAGUGAAAUGCGAUACGUAAUGUGAAUUGCAGAAUUCAGUGAAUCAUCGAAUCUUUGAACGCACAUUGCGCCCGCCAGUAUUCUGGCGAGCAUGCCUGUUCGAGCGUCAUUUCAACCAUCAAGCCCCAGGCUUGUGUUGGAGCCCUGCGGCUGCCGCAGCCUCCCAAAACCAGUGGCGGGCUCGCUAUCACACCGAGUGCAGUAGUUUACUCUUCGCUCAGGGCGUGUGGCGGGUGCUAGCCGUGAAACCCCCAACUUCUCAAGGUUGACCUCGGAUCAGGUAGGAAUACCCGCUGAACUUAAGCAUAUCAAUAAGCGGAGGA
rnacentral:misc_RNA from 1 species